rnacentral:misc_RNA from 1 species
CUGUCAUAGACAUGCAUAGUUCGGCGAUUCGUUUUUGUUUUGUGCUGCCAGGAUAACGAUUUGAUAUACAUGCAAAGUUUAUCAAAAGAAAAGAUGGUUCGUGUGUGCGUAGCAUCGGGGUGCUCAACAAAGGAAAACGAGGGCAAGCUUCUCCUACGAUUUCCUAAAAAUCCAGAGCGAAGAUGCCAGUGGAUUGAAUUGGUACAGAAGACAAAACCAGGUUGGAGAAUAAAAACCAACAGCUGUUUAUGUGAGCUUCAUUUCGAUACAUCGUCAUGGGAAGAAAUAAGAGUAGAUGGUACUAGAAAGCUGAAAGAAUCAGCACUCCCCAAUGUCUUCCAGAGAUCUUCCCCAUGUAUGAAUGUGGAAACGGAUCAUACAUAUGUACAGACAACCAAGCAACAAUACCUUUUGUCUGAGGUGCACUUUGACGACGGACAAUACGAACAAGCUCGCCAAGAUGAAAGAAAAUUGCUCCGCUCAUGUGUAAUAUCGACUUUAUUACAAAAGCGUAAGAUAAAGAAAGAAAAGGAAGAGAAAGCUAAAAAAGCUAAAUAUUCCAAUGAUGUAGAGGAUUUAGAAUCUCGCAACUAUACUGAAAUAACCAAUUCUGAAGUAAUUCAUACUGGACCAACCAAUUCUGUAACCUAUACCGAAACAAGCAAUACUAGAACAACCAAUGAGGACAUAUCAAGAGACACUACAAAUACGAUGAGUGAAAAAGAACAAAUCAAACAUUUGCAAAUAACAUUGAGGAAAACGUUGCGGCAAUGCAGUGAAUUAAAAAGAAAGCUACAACAAAGAAAUGUAAUUUUGGAAAAAAUAUUUGCAGACGAUCAAAUAAACUUGAUCUUAAAUAAUACACAAAGAGGAGCAUCGUGGUCCACUGAGACGUUGGAUAAAGCAUUGAAAUUGUAUGUAGCCUGUGGAUCAAAAGGUUAUGAGGAGAUAUGUCAACAAAAUUUGCCUUAUCCGAGCAUUCGAACAAUACAACAUCACAUACGAGGCUUCAAAUCUAAGCCAGUCUGAUUAAAGGGUCUCUAUAAGUUGAUCUGCACACGACACCUACGUGGUGCCACUGGCACUUACCUGCAAGCAUUGCACGCGACACCAACGUGAUGCCGGACAGCAAAUUGUUAAAAAUAAAAGUACAAACGUUGAACUCUGAAGAAAAACAUGCAGUAUUUGUCAUACACGAAAUGUCUAUAAAACCGGGCUUACAAUACGAUCGCUCCAUUUCUUCAGGUGUGGAUCGGCCACCAAUGAAACUAUCGGAUGGAUUUGAUAGUUCUCAUGAACGAGCAACGCCCUUGUUUUCAUUCUGUGCGGCAUUUCCUCGAGGUCAAAACAAACUAUAGAAUAUUACUAUAUCUAAAAUUAUAAUAAAAAUUGCGUAAAAAUAAAA